rnacentral:snoRNA from 1 species
CUCCUCUUAGGGUCACACCUGGAGAGCUUCCAGUACUCUACCAGUCUCAGCUACCAGAGGGAGAGUCAAGCAGAGGCCUACCCAUUCCAUUCCUAGCUUGGCCAGUAGCUAGUGAGUGGAAGACAAUCUGCUACAAGU